GGGCAUUAAGGUGGGUGAAUGUGAAAGGGAACUGCAAGAUCUAGACUAAAGUAGCUGAUACGGUAAAAGCGCAGAAUUUGAGAAUAUUUUUAAGCUGUUUUGGCCCAGAUGUUGAAUUUACUUGCAAAUUCACUCACAAUUUUUGGAAAUGUUUUGGAAUAGAAUGUUAUAAAGGGACACUAUUGUCACACAGACCACUUCUUUAAGAUGAAAGUCUGGUCCUGUAGGUUUAACCAUGCAAUGUAAAACAUUUCAGUUUGAGAAACUGCAAUGUUUCCAUCUGCAUUGUUAAACACUCCUUCAGUGGCAUAAUAAUAAUAAUAAUAAUAAUAAUUUGAACCAAUGCUUUCCUAUGGGGGAAAUUUAUGCGCAUGCACAUCAGGCCUCCAGUGCUCCUCUAUGAGUACCGGGGCGGGCAGGGAGACGACCUUAGCAAUAGGUGCUUUAGUGUUCAUGCUAUACAGAACUUGUUACCGACCAUGCGAAGAUUUGCGGCUGUCAAAAAAUCGCUACUUUUCAGUCUGCUGAUGUCACUCUCUGCCUCUUAAGGUUACUUAUUCUGAAGGAAAUGUCUCUAGCAUUUUUGAUAGUAAAGUUUAAACCUCGUAAUCAGCAUUCCAAUAUUAAUUUUUUAAAUGCCAUUUUGGGAUUUCAGCAGAUAUUUGACCUUUUGUGAGUAAAUCUUAGACUAAUCUGGCUAUUUAAUUGUCUACUGGAGGUAAAGGGAGCCUUGGGAGUGAAGUGAAAAAGCACCUCUAUCAGUGAUUUAAGCAAAUUCUGCAUUGAUUGGCUAGAUUACCAAGAAUGGCAUUAGUUAAAGGGUUAAUCCAACCAUCAUGACAACUACAGUGAUUUGAAGUGGUCAUGGUGUCUGGAGUCUGCAUGUGCAGCGUCUCGCUGGGAAGUGCUGCGCAUACAGAGAUUAAGCCCUUUACUCCCAAAAGGUGUAACUCUACCUCUGGCACUGUUCACUGGUGUGCCAUUGGCUUGCUAAUGUGAACUUUCUUUGCACUGGGUGCCAUUAAUUGGCUGAGAACGGUUCGCUGAAUCUGAUGCUUUCAGCCAGUGAAUAGCCAGCAGGAUUUGCAUAACAGCUGUGCAUAAGCUGUUCUGCUGUGAAGCAGGAUUUGACAGCAUAACAGGUGCCUGGCAAGAGGGCCAGGGUACUCUUGGCACUAGUUACGCAUUAUAAGUAAUGCUUUAUGUAUGAG